UACGUAGGGGGCAAGCGUUGUCCGGAAUCAUUGGGCGUAAAGCGCGUGUAGGCGGCCACGUUAGUCCGUUCUGAAAGCCCGGGGCUCAACCCCGGGAGGCGGAUGGAUACUGCGUGGCUCGAGUCCGGAAGAGGCGAGUGGAAUUCCUGGUGUAGCGGUGAAAUGCGCAGAUAUCAGGAGGAGCACCAAUGGCGAAGGCAGCUCGCUGGGACGUGACUGACGCUGAGACGCGAAAGCGUGGGGAGCAAACAGG
rnacentral:rRNA from 1 species